rnacentral:rRNA from 1 species
GAUGAACGCUGGCGGCGUGCUUAACGCAUGCACGUCAAACGGAAAUUAUUUUAUUGCAACUUCGGUCGAUUUAAUUUGCUUCCAGAGGCGGACGGGUGAUUAACGCGUGCGCACCCUGCCUUAUACUCGGGGAUAACUGUCAGAAAUGGCUGCUAAUACCGCAUAAGCGCACAGAGCUGCGUGGCUCAGUGUGAAAAACUCCGGUGGUAUCACAUGGACCCGCGUUGGAUUACCUAGUAGGUGGGGUAACGGCCCACCAAGGCGACGAUCCAUAGCCGGCCUGAGAGGGUGAACGGCCACAUUGCGACUGAGACACGGCCCAGACUCCUACGGGAGGCAGCAGUGAGAAAUAUUGCACAAUGGGGGAAACCCUGAUGCAGCGACGCCGCGUGAAGGAAGAAGUAUCUCGGUAUGUAAACUUCUAUCAGCAGGGAAGAUAGUGACGGUACCUGUCUAAGAAGCCCCGGCUAACUACGUGCCAGCAGCAGCGGUAAUACGUAGGGGGCAAGCGUUAUCCUGAUUUAUUGGGUGUAAAGGGAGCGUAGCCGGUGUGGCAAGUCUGAUGUGAAAGGCAUGGGCUCAACCUGUGGACUGCAUUCGAAACUGUCAUACUUGAGUACCGCAGGGGUAAGUGGAAUUCCAAGUGUAGCGGUGAAAUGCGUAGAUAUUAGGAGGAACACCAGUGGCGAAGGCGGCUUACUUGACGGUAACUGACGUUGAGGCUUGAAAGCAUGGGGAGCAAACAGGAUUAGAUACCCUGGUAGUCCACGCCGUAAACGAUGAAAAGGGGGUGUCGGGUGGCAAAGCCUUUCGGUGCCGUCGCAAACGCCAGUAAGUAUUCCACCUGGGGAGUACGUUCGCAAGAAUGAAACUCAAAAGAAGUGACGGGGACCCGCACAAGCGUCGGUGCAUGUGGUUUAAUUAUAAGCAACGCGAAGAACCUUACCCAAUCUUGACAUCCCUCUGUCCGGUCUUUAAUCGGACGCUUCUCUUUGGAGCAGAGGUGACAGCAGGUGCAUGGUUGUCGUCAGCUCGUGUUGUGAGAGGUGUGGUUAAGUCUCGCAACGAGCGCAGCCCCUCUCCUCUGUAACCAGCAUUUAAGGUGGGCGCUCUGGGGAGACUGCCCGGGAUAACCUGGAGGAAGGCGGGGAUGACGUCAAAUCAUCAUUCCCCUUCUGAUUUGGGCUACACACGCGCUACAAUGGCGUAAACAAAGGGAAGCGAGAUCGUGUGAUGGAGCAAAUCCCAAAAAUAACGUCCCAGUUCGGACUGUAGUCUGCAACCCGCCUACACCAAGCUGGAAUCGCU